rnacentral:lncRNA from 1 species
GCCAAUCAGAAGCAGAAGUCAUUCAAAUUUGCAGCUUGGCAAAUGCUGGUUUUGCUUUCAAUUUUAAUUUCAUUUCCUGCGCGCGCUUUUCGAGCCGAAGCCAGGGAGGGGGUUGUAUUAAUCCGAGCUGUGGGUGCAUGUGCUUCUAGAUCGAGAUAGAGCUCACCUCUGUCUUUGUAUCUAUGGAAACCAGAGAAGGGUGAUGGGAGGAAAGAACUGCUAGAGUCUUCCAUUCAAGCCAGAGUCAUCGAUACUAUGCCAGGUGUACCACACAAGCAAGAUCCUGCAAGCUACGCUUCAGCAAUAUGCAAGCCAGGACUAACACAAGUGUAACCUGGCUUUUGAAGAUACAAAAUUGCCAAUAUUCUCUGNAUUAUAAAGAAAGCAAGGAAGUUCCAGACAAACACCUACUUCAUUGACUGCNCUAAAGCCUUUGGCUGUGUAGACCACAACAAAUUUCGGCAAGUUCUUNAAGAGAUAGGAGCUCCAGAUCACUUGCCUGUCUCCUGAGGGACCUGUNUGAGGGUCAAGAAGCAANGGUUAGAACAAAAUUUGGAACCACUGAUUGGUUCAAGAUUGGGAAACCACCCUUCUCUUAAGAG